UUUGAAUUUAAUUUGCAUUUGAUGUGACAUGGACACUUUUUGUUCAACCAUUUCAUACUUGACAAGAUAGCUGUUGCAUGCUCUUGUGAAGACAUUUUUACUUUCGUGAAACCUUAAAACUUGUAUUGUUCAUAUUCAUGUAAGGUUUACGAGACUUUAAUUUGUUUGUGUACAAAUAAUGGAGUGGCUACUGUUUUUUUGUUGAGGGAACUGAUUAGCAUUUGCUCUUCUUCUUCUUCUUCUUCUUCUUCGUCUAGACUCAUCUUCAUAUAAUUCCUCGGAAGGCACGUGAUUGCUUGUGGAGCUCUGAGAGUUUGCCUAGGUGUCCUCUAAAAUUAGACCAGGAAACUUCAGGACUCGCUGAUCGAAUUCGCAAAGAAUUAUUAUUCUCAGACAACUCCGAAUAUAGCAAGGGCCAAGGAUCUAGUCUCUUCGCAAACUAGUGUUGUUAUCACAUGUACCCAUUUGUACAAUAUGUAUAAUUAUAUAGCCCAUUCUUUCAUGGAGUAUACUUGUGGAAUGAGUUAUAUUUACUGUGAUGAUAAUAUAUUUCCAUGUUCAGAAAAUUUCUUCAGCUGAGACUCAGAGAGAGUUGCUUGGGGUUGUGUUGUACCAUUAUCAGUACGGGUUACAUGGUUAACAUUGAAGACAUUCUUUUUAAAUUCAA